GAAUGCUUUUGGUUGCAAGAAAUGGAAGCUGCAACUUAAAUAAUAAGAAAUUUAUUCUUGUUUUUGCCAAAUGUAAGACACCAAUUGUAACACACAUCAUUAUUUUAUGAAGUACUACAAAAAACAUGUCAAUUAAACUGACACAGUGCUCUCUAACAACUUAAAAUUUUAUUUUAUACCUAUUGCAAGAUAAUUGAAAAAUGUAUUUAGAUGUAUAUUUUAUAUAUCACAUAUAUAUUACAAAUACAUAUAUAUACACCACCAUAAAUCAAAAUAUGUUGCUUCGUGGUUUUAAAAUGUCUUCACUUUCAGAGUCUGACUCUUCAAACUCACUUUUAAAAUUCAGAGCCAUAAAUAUUCAUGCUUUUUCCUCCCAAUAUCAUCCUCUGUAAUAUCAAAAGUAUUGGUGAUGCAACAUUUCUUAAAAGAUUGACCUACUAUUGCCACUUGGAUUUCUUUCUAAGCACAGACGAUUAUUAUGCAAAUUUUUUUUUUUUUUUUUUUUUUUUUUUUUUUUUUUUUUGAGACGGAGUCUCGCUCUGUCGCCCAGGCUGGAGUG
rnacentral:lncRNA from 1 species